UACGAGGGGGGCGAGCGUUGUUCGGAAUUAUUGGGCGUAAAGGGUGCGUAGGCGGUUCCGCAAGUCCUGUGUGAAAUCUUCGGGCUCAACUCGAAGUCUGCACGGGAAACUGCGGGGCUUGAGUGUGGGAGAGGUGAGUGGAAUUCCCGGUGUAGCGGCGAAAUGCGUAGAUAUCGGGAGGAACACCUGUGGCGAAAGCGGCUCACUGGACCAUAACUGACGCUGAUGCACGAAAGCUGGGGGGAGCAAACAGG
rnacentral:rRNA from 1 species